CAUGUCCAUAGUCACUAUAUGUACCCAUGCCGAACACAGAAGUUAAGCCCUAGAACGCCGGAAGUAGUUGGGGGUUGCCCCCUGUGAGAUAGGGAAGUCGCUUAGCU
rnacentral:rRNA from 1 species